GGCAGCUGCUGCCUCUGCAUCAGCAGCAGCGAUGGCGACGAACUUCCUGUAAAGGAGGAAAAACGAAGAAACCUCCUCUAGGAUGACAGGAAUUGGCAUCACCGCCGGCGUCUGAGCUUGCGACUCGGCCACUACAAAUCCUGGGGGAAUGUGAGGAGAAAUUGGAGGGGGGAGGAGCGCAUUGGGUUUUCUUACCAGUGGGUCGUGAUGGAGAAGGAGUCGCUGAUCCAGGCGCCAUCGCCUCUCUCUCUAUCUCUCUCUCUCUCACACACACACACACACAGAGGAGAAAGUGGAAGGGACCUCGAUUUGUCAGAAGGUGAAGCGCUAGGGUCGCUGACUUUUGGUUGACUUCAGUGGUCGUUGACUGAGAGUGUUGACUUGGUUUUAUUGAGACAGUUUUUUCUGCA